AUGUUUAUCACACCGGUGCGGCGCCCGAAUGGCUGGAUGAUCGUAGUUUGGGAUAUGCUACAGAAAAUAUUAAAUGUCAUCGACCCUCUUUAUGCCAAAAUUUCAACUAAGCACCCCUACAAGGAAUGCGACGAAGCCUUGGCAUGGAAGCUGCACAGUGCAUUAUUCGCAUGCCUUCAUGAAUUCUAUGCCGGAUGGCCGGCAGCCAAGGAAAACUGGCGGAUCAAGCAUGAUCCCACAACUGAUGACAUCCUUACGGCUGAUGAGACAGACGUCUGCGCCAGCCGCAUUGCUCGGCAUUUUGACGGAGACAAGCUUAAGCUGCCUCUUACGCAGCAUAACACAUCCAAAACAAAGAAGGAUGCCCUGCAUGAGUGCUUGAAGCUGCAGGGUAACUUCUCCUAA
rnacentral:rRNA from 1 species